rnacentral:rRNA from 1 species
GAUGAACGCUGGCGGCGUGCCUAAUACAUGCAAGUCGAGCGAACUGAUUAGAAGCUUGCUUCUAUGACGUUAGCGGCGGACGGGUGAGUAACACGUGGGCAACCUGCCUGUAAGACUGGGAUAACUUAGGGAAACCGAAGCUAAUACCGGAUAGGAUCAUCUCCUUCAUGGGAGAUGAUUGAAAGAUGGUUUCGGCUAUCACUUACAGAUGGGCCCGCGGUGCAUUAGCUAGUUGGUGAGGUAACGGCUCACCAAGGCAACGAUGCAUAGCAGACCUGAGAGGGUGAUCGGCCACACUGGGACUGAGACACGGCCCAGACUCCUACGGGAGGCAGCAGUAGGGAAUCUUCCGCAAUGGAAGAAAGUCUGACGGAGCAACGCCGCGUGAGUGAUGAAGGCUUUCGGGUCGUAAAACUCUGUUGUUAGGGAAGAACAAGUACAAGAGUAACUGCUUGUACCUUGACGGUACCUAACCAGAAAGCCACGGCUAACUACGUGCCAGCCGCCGCAGUAAGAC